AUGGUGGUGGACGCGCUUUCCGCCAUCCUGGACAAGGCUAAGGUUGCGGGCCAUAUUCGUGGGAUCACUCCCCACCUGGCCGGUGGCUCCGGGAUCUCCCUUCUCCAGUACGCCGACGACACCAUCAUUAUGGUCGAAGGCUCAGAGGCGGACAUCUCUAAUCUUAAGUUCCUUCUCUGCUUCCAACAAAUGUCUGGCAUGAAGAUCAACUUCGAAAAAAGUGAGGUGAUGGUGAUGGGCUACUCUCCGGCAGAGUGCCUGGACAUUGCCAAUCGGCUCAAUUGCCGCCCGGGCUCCUUCCCCACGACAUACUUGGGAACGCCCAUUAGUGACUCUAGGCUUACCGUCGCUGACUUGCGGCCAACCGUGUCCAAGCUGCAAACGCGCAUUGAGCCAUGGCAGGGCAGGUGGCUGUCGAAGGCGGCUCGGACGAUUCUCAUCAAAUCCUCCCUCUCCAGCCUCUACUUGUUCCUCAUGAGCUUCUACAACCUUCACGAGACUCUACACCAUUAGAUCGCCAAAGUCUAGUCUCGCUUCUAUUGGGCAGGCGAUAACAUUAAGCAGAAAUGCCAUAUGGUUAGCUGGCCAGACAUUUGCAAGCCUCAGGAACAAGGAGGCCUCAGCAUCAUGUGCUCCAAGCGCAUGAAUAUUGCCCUCUUAUCCUGA
rnacentral:rRNA from 1 species